rnacentral:misc_RNA from 1 species
AGUCAAAACUUAGUAUCACUAAAGGUGUGUUAUUGAAUUUUUUAAUGUUGAAUAGUGAAAUAGUUGAAGAACUUAUGGAGCAGCAAUGGCUGAAAAUUGUGAAUUAUGAGAACUGUAAUUUGCUACCAUCUACUAUACCUCACAUCUCCAAAAUCAGCAGUGAGCUAUAGGUUUGUCUGGUGAAUAUUGGCAUUUACAUACGUACAUACGACCUAUUUUAUAUUCCUAUACUCAACUACCUCGAGACAGCAGCACAAAACUGAAAAAUGUCUUUCAUGAAGGCCGUUUUGCUGCGCUUUGUAUUAAGAUUCCAAAUGGAAAUGUUACAUCAAGAAGUGGAGGAGAAGAUGGAAAUUAUGCUGACACAUAUUGUCCACCAUCGCGGCUGCUGCCCAUAUUACCACUCGUGAAGCUCAGUCAAGUGACCACUUUCUCU